CUUCCAGUCCUGCCCCUCGCGCCCCCCAGCCUCCCAGGCCUGCGCGCACCAGCCAUCAGCAUCGAAAGCACAUCUCUGGGUGGCCCUUCGUUGUGGGAAGACAAAACCAGGGACAGCUUUCCUGAUUCCUGCCCAGAAGAAUGACCUGGGGCCAGCAGCAUCUAGCCCGGGAAUGUCCCCACAGCCUCCUCCCCAGUCCAGACCUCCAGGUGUGGUUUUGAAGGAUUACAUCAGCCAUGGCCGGGGCAGCCCGUUCAGCAGAAACGUUCCAAUCCUCC
rnacentral:lncRNA from 1 species